GGGUUGUGAGGUUAAGCGACUAAGCGUACACGGUGGAUGCCCUGGCAGUCAGAGGCGAUGAAGGGCGUGCUAAUCUGCGAUAAGCGCCGGUAAGGUGAUAUGAACCGUUAUAACCGGCGAUACCCGAAUGGGGAAACCCAGUGUGACUCGUCACACUAUCAUUAACUGAAUCCAUAGGUUAAUGAGGCGAACCGGGGGAACUGAAACAUCUAAGUACCCCGAGGAAAAGAAAUCAACCGAGAUUCCCCCAGUAGCGGCGAGCGAACGGGGAGGAGCCCAGAGCCUGAAUCAGCAUGUGUGUUAGUGGAAGCGUCUGGAAAGGCGCGCGAUACAGGGUGACAGCCCCGUACACAAAAGCGCAUGUGCUGUGAGCUCGAUGAGUAGGGCGGGACACGUGGUAUCCUGUCUGAAUAUGGGGGGACCAUCCUCCAAGGCUAAAUACUCCUGACUGACCGAUAGUGAACCAGUACCGUGAGGGAAAGGCGAAAAGAACCCCGGCGAGGGGAGUGAAAAAGAACCUGAAACCGUGUACGUACAAGCAGUGGGAGCACCCUUUGGGUGUGACUGCGUACCUUUUGUAUAAUGGGUCAGCGACUUAUAUUCUGUAGCAAGGUUAACCGAAUAGGGGAGCCGGAGGGAAACCGAGUCUUAACCGGGCGUUAAGUUGCAGGGUAUAGACCCGAAACCCGGUGAUCUAGCCAUGGGCAGGUUGAAGGUUGGGUAACACUAACUGGAGGACCGAACCGACUAAUGUUGAAAAAUUAGCGGAUGACCUGUGGCUGGGGGUGAAAGGCCAAUCAAACCGGGAGAUAGCUGGUUCUCCCCGAAAGCUAUUUAGGUAGCGCCUCGUGAAUUCAUCUCCGGGGGUAGAGCACUGUUUCGGCUAGGGGGCCAUCCCGGCUUACCAACCCGAUGCAAACUGCGAAUACCGGAGAAUGUUAUCACGGGAGACACACGGCGGGUGCUAACGUCCGUCGUGAAGAGGGAAACAACCCAGACCGCCAGCUAAGGUCCCAAAGUCAUGGUUAAGUGGGAAACGAUGUGGGAAGGCCCAGACAGCCAGGAUGUUGGCUUAGAAGCAGCCAUCAUUUAAAGAAAGCGUAAUAGCUCACUGGUCGAGUCGGCCUGCGCGGAAGAUGUAACGGGGCUAAACCAUGCACCGAAGCUGCGGCAGCGACACUGUGUGUUGUUGGGUAGGGGAGCGUUCUGUAAGCCUGUGAAGGUGUGUCGUGAGGCAUGCUGGAGGUAUCAGAAGUGCGAAUGCUGACAUAAGUAACGAUAAAGCGGGUGAAAAGCCCGCUCGCCGGAAGACCAAGGGUUCCUGUCCAACGUUAAUCGGGGCAGGGUGAGUCGACCCCUAAGGCGAGGCCGAAAGGCGUAGUCGAUGGGAAACGGGUUAAUAUUCCCGUACUUGGUGUUACUGCGAAGGGGGGACGGAGAAGGCUAUGUUGGCCGGGCGACGGUUGUCCCGGUUUAAGCGUGUAGGUGUGUGUUCCAGGUAAAUCCGGUUCACUUUAACACUGAGGCGUGACGACGAGGCACUACGGUGCUGAAGCAACAAAUGCCCUGCUUCCAGGAAAAGCCUCUAAGCAUCAGGUAACAUCAAAUCGUACCCCAAACCGACACAGGUGGUCAGGUAGAGAAUACCAAGGCGCUUGAGAGAACUCGGGUGAAGGAACUAGGCAAAAUGGUGCCGUAACUUCGGGAGAAGGCACGCUGACACGUAGGUGAAGUGAUUUACUCAUGGAGCUGAAGUCAGUCGAAGAUACCAGCUGGCUGCAACUGUUUAUUAAAAACACAGCACUGUGCAAACACGAAAGUGGACGUAUACGGUGUGACGCCUGCCCGGUGCCGGAAGGUUAAUUGAUGGGGUCAGCGCAAGCGAAGCUCCUGAUCGAAGCCCCGGUAAACGGCGGCCGUAACUAUAACGGUCCUAAGGUAGCGAAAUUCCUUGUCGGGUAAGUUCCGACCUGCACGAAUGGCGUAAUGAUGGCGGGCUGUCUCCACCCGAGACUCAGUGAAAUUGAACUCGCUGUGAAGAUGCAGUGUACCCGCGGCAAGACGGAAAGACCCCGUGAACCUUUACUAUAGCUUGACACUGAACAUUGAGCCUUGAUGUGUAGGAUAGGUGGGAGGCUUUGAAGUGUGGACGCCAGUCUGCAUGGAGCCGACCUUGAAAUACCACCCUUUAAUGUUUGAUGUUCUAACGUGGACCCGUUACCCGGGUUGCGGACAGUGUCUGGUGGGUAGUUUGACUGGGGCGGUCUCCUCCUAAAGAGUAACGGAGGAGCACGAAGGUUGGCUAAUCCUGGUCGGACAUCAGGAGGUUAGUGCAAUGGCAUAAGCCAGCUUGACUGCGAGCGUGACGGCGCGAGCAGGUGCGAAAGCAGGUCAUAGUGAUCCGGUGGUUCUGAAUGGAAGGGCCAUCGCUCAACGGAUAAAAGGUACUCCGGGGAUAACAGGCUGAUACCGCCCAAGAGUUCAUAUCGACGGCGGUGUUUGGCACCUCGAUGUCGGCUCAUCACAUCCUGGGGCUGAAGUAGGUCCCAAAGGGUAUGGCUGUUCGCCAUUUAAAGUGGUACGCGAGCUGGGUUUAGAACGUCGUGAGACAGUUCGGUCCCUAUCUGCCGUGGGCGCUGGAGAACUGAGGGGGCUGCUCCUAGUACGAGAGGACCGGAGUGGACGCAUCACUGGUGUUCGGGUUGUCAUGCCAAUGGCACUGCCCGGUAGCUAAAUGCGGAAGAGAUAAGUGCUGAAAGCAUCUAAGCACGAAACUUGCCCCGAGAUGAGUUCUCCCUGAGACUUAGAGUCUCCUGAAGGAACGUUGAAGACGACGACGUUGAUAGGCCGGGUGUGUAAGCGCAGCGAUGCGUUGAGCUAACCGGUACUAAUGAACCGUGAGGCUUAACCUUACAACGCCGAAG
rnacentral:rRNA from 1 species